UUCAUUGAGAUAAUUGAGAAAUUAAUCGAUAAAUCGACAGCAUUUCAUCUCUUCCACUCGAUUACUAGGUCUGUUUUACAAGCGACAAUCAGAGCUAUGUGUCGAGCUGGUAGCCAUAGCCAAUCGCAAGAUUUUUUUCUCUCCCGCGGAAGAAGAAGUAGGCAGCGUUCAAGUCCGAUAAAUCUGGGGAUAAGAACACUGGAAUUUACAGCACCAGCCGGAAGUACGAACUCGAUCGCACAAAGAUGAUCCUGAUUGGGUCUCCGUUGGGAAUGGGAACCAUCUCCUGCAAACCCUUCUUCUCGGACAGAUUGCGAAGUGGAUUUUACAGCAGAGCUCGUUCUAGGCACCGUCUCUGUGUUAAUGGAGGAGAAAAUCGAAAAAAGAAAAAGGUCGUCGUCGUCGGCUCCGGCUGGGCUGGCCUUGCCGCUGCUAAUCACCUCUGCAAUCAGGGAUUUGAUAUCACUGUUCUUGAACCCGGCAAUGAUUAUGGUGGUGCCGAUAAUCAUGGGAUUCGUGGUUACUGGCGUCCCUACAAGAAUAUAUUUGGUCUCGUUGAUGAGCUUGGUAUCACUCCUUUCACAAACUGGACAGCACCUGUUCAUUAUUCAGCUGAUGGAUUGGAGGUAAAAUUUCCAAUAUUCCAAGAUCUGCCUCAACUGCCAACUCCUCUCGGAACCUUAUAUUAUACAGAAUUUCUCCAACUCCCGUUGUUGGAUCGCUUAUCGUCACUUCCUUUGAUGGCUGCAGUGGUUGACUUUGACAACACGGAUACAGUGUGGAGAAAAUACGACUCAAUUACCGCCCGGGAGCUAUUCAAGCAGUUCGGCUGUUCAGGAAGGCUCUAUAGUAGCAUACUCAAUCCAUUGCUUCAAGUAGGACUAUUUGCUCCAGCCGAGCAAUGCAGUGCUGCAGCAACCUUGGGAAACUUAUACUAUACUAUCCUUGCUCACCAGAAAGAUUUUAAUCUAGUCUGGUGUCGAGGAACGGUUAAAGAGAGAAUUUUCCAGCCAUGGAUUGACUUGCUGGAGAGCAAGGGAUGUAAAUUUGUUAGGAGGAGCAAAAUCACAGAUGUAAUUGUAGAUGAUGAUACAAAUCGUCUCUCGGACGUUUUUUGUGGCGGAAAAAGAUACGAGGCCGAUGCAGUUGUUUUCGCUGUCGGAAUUUCUAUACUUCAAGAACUCGUUCGUAAUUCGGCAGCAUUACAAACAAAAGAGGAGUUCCUCAAGGUUUUGAACUUAAGAACAGUUGAUAUGCUGACUGUUAAGCUUUGGUUUGACAGAAAAGUUAAUAUUCCAAAUUCGAGUAAUUCUUGCUCGGCGUUGGAUAAUUCAUUUGGGUGGAGUUUCUUCAACUUAAAUGCCAUUCAAGACGAACACAAAGAUGAAUCAGUUACAGUCUUGCAAGCUGACUUUUAUCAUGCCAACGAGCUGAUGCUGCUGAACGAAGAAGUUAUAGUCGAAAAGGUGAAAUCUUACCUCUCAACGUGCGUUAAGGAUUUCGAGAAUGCCAUCGUAGUGAAGAAGGAAAUCGGAAAGUUUCCAGCAACAUUGACUCACUUCUUUCCUGGUUCAUACAAGUACCGGAUGUACGGGUUCACAUCGUUCACAAAUGUAUUCAUGGCUGGAGACUGGAUUGUAAACCGUCACGGUUCGUGGUCACAGGGAAAAAGGCAAGAGAGAGGAUAGAAAAUCUGCAGGAAAUUACACUUGGAUGUUCAGAGCUAUGAAAGCUUAGCUCUCCUUCCUCACAGACAAUAAAAGAAAAAAGGGGAAAAAAAGGUAUGAUAAAUGAAGCCUUUUCAAGCUGCAGGUCACUCCCAACCCAACUAACAGUCAUCAUGCAACUCCCAAACCAUCUACAGCUUUAAUGGCAGGCUUGUGUAAGAGAAAAAGUUAAGGCUCUGUUUGGCAGUCCCACUUAUUUUGUCUAAAACGAGUUGUGCCACUGCCACCCUCUAUGGAUGCUUGGUUGUUACUCACUAAUCCACCGAAAGAAGGGUGAAUCAAUGUUGUAAGGACGGCGGCAGUCCAGAGGUUAGUAUCCAAACAAAGUCUCCCAUUUCUUUUUUCUUACUUAGAUGGGGAGGAGAACUAAACAUCUCACUA